CCGGGUGGCGCCGCCGGCCAAUGGGAGGCAGCGGGCAUUUUUCGAAUGCCGCCCCUUCCCCCCCCCGCCCCACCGCUUCCACGUCGCGCGGGAGCGCGCGCGUGCGCGGGGCGCUGAGGCGAUUCCCGCCGGCCGGGGUCGCUGAGGGGGCGAGGGCCGCUCCCGGGACCGCCUCAGCCCCGCCGGCCUCCCCGUCGAGCCCUCAGCUCAGUCCCCUUGGAUCCUCACCACAGCCUCGCCAGGCUGGGACCACGCUGCCGCCUCCUAAGCCCUGCCAGAACCGUGUGGACGUGUCACUGUGUCACCUGCUCCAGGCAGUUUUUACCUGUGCCUCCGCUGCUCAGGGUGAGGAUUAUCAUGGCAAGGCAGAGCUGAGGUGUGACCCACACUUGUAUCUUCACUACCACAGUAAUCUCAGGGCUGUGCAGAUACAACGAGAGGGUUUUUUUUGUAUUUUAACACCCUUCACAAGAAACCAGUUACAAAGAUCUUUCAUGAGCUGCAUCCUGAGGAGCCACAACCACCUGCAAACCUGUGCUGAUCUAGAAGGAAACUGGAAAGCAACUGGGUGCAGUAAAUACAUGGCAAAGAACACAAGAGGAGCAGAGGAAGGACUCAGGAGUUCUGCUCCUUGCAGUGAUAUUGUUGGGAAGCUGAAACUUCAGGUGACACACUCACAGCUGGAGACCUCAAGGCCUUAUGGAUAAACUGCUCACAGCAUCCAGUGUGCAGCUGAACUGAUUUAACUUCAGAGAAGCCAAAACCUCCCAUGCUGCAAACCUAACUUUGGGUAAUUCUGAAAAAAAAACCUCAUGAAAAUCUCUGGUAAGUCCCCUCCUGGCCUUUGCAGAACACUUGCAGAACAGGGCAAGUUCUCACCCCUGGAAUGUCUAACAUUAAAGGCUCUAACAAAAAGGGGAAAGACUUUCUCACUUCACCUCAGCUCAUGUCUACCCACCUGCUGGCAAUUCCCAUUCCCUCCAGCCAGUGGUCUUCCAACUCUUUCAGCCAGAAGGUUUAAGCUCUCCAGACAGAUUUCCCAGCCUUGACACACUGGAUCCACAGGGCUAUUUAAAGCUCUACAGCAAGUUUGUCCUUCCUAAUCCAAGGCAAUGAGAGAGACAUCAGUCCUUGCAUGGCUCUGCUGUUGCACACUCACAUUCCCAGCAGGCUUUGACACUGCCCACCCUGAGAGGAAUUCUGUAUUUGCCCACAUCGACUAUAAAGGGCAAAUAUUUACCCUUAUUUACAUACAAACUGGCAUCCAUUUAAUUCAAGUAUUGAGCUGCUACAACCCACCAUGUAUUGCUCAAGAAGAAGCCUUUUGGAAGAAGAGCACCCACACGACCUUCUGCAGAGGUUUAACAGACACCCCUGGAGCCCUGGUGGGUGGGGGUUCCGUGGGGACAGACCCUCUGGAGACCUUGAGAGCCCAUCCAAACCUCUGGGCCCAACGGUGAGGCUAAGGCAUCACUGGAUGUGGUACAAGCAGAUACAUGAGCAUAUAUUAAUGGUGAGAAUAUUUUUUCUUUUUUUUAACAAAACAUCAGAGAAAAGUGUUUUAUUGUUACUAAAAAAAAAAAAACAAAAACAAAACAACCAAACAAUGCUCUAGUGUUUUAGGCCAUGGAUUCUCUAGCUCAGAUUCAUGGCGUGGAACAAGUUAACAGGGAAAGUGUCUCAUGGACAUCUCCCUUCUAGCCACAACCAGGCACCUCCUCCCUUCCCUGUGGUGAUCAGAUCACAUCCUCAGGCAAGUACAGCAAUUGUUUACAUGUAAGAUUAGGAAAGUAUUUAAUGUUUUUGUAGCUUUUCUUCCCUUUUUUUUUCCUUUUGCUCUUGGGGUGAUUUUUUCAUGUUUUUUUUUCUUUUUUUAAAAGAAGUGAUUUAGCAGCUGGAAAGAAAAAGCAUCAUGUGAGCAGUCAGUGCUGCAGACACCCCCAGCAAAUGCUCCUCCACAGGUUACUCACGGUCCAUGGCCCACAGUUCACAAACCACAUUUCAGGGCUUCCCCAGCUUUGCAGAGUCCUUGAUGGCAGGUGCUUCUCAGUGAGAGCCAGCAGGUCAUCUCUGGCGGCUGAAGAGACGCGCGGGGUCUUCCCGUCCUUAGCAGCAGCUCGGUUUGGAGCAGCUCCGGGGCCGGGUCCCGCCGGCACACGGGAAGGGGCUCCCACGGCUGUGGCUCUGUGCCCCGGAGCCGGGCAGGCCGCGCGUCGCUCCUGCCGCGUUCCCUGGCGCUGGUUCCCCGUGCGCGGCUCUGGCUGCGCGGGCACAGCGGGCGGCGGGGCUGGCGGAUCUCGGCUCACGCAGCUGAGACCUCCGGAGCUCCCAGGGUCACAAGUCCCCGGAUGACGCCACUGAUCCAGGUCACACGAGAGGCGCUGCCACACGGCUGGAGAAACCCAGCUGGGGUCGGGCACCAUCCGCCCUCAGGUCGCGUCCCGGCCUCGGGGACCAACUGCACACAGGUGGCCCCACAGCCACUGGCUGCUCCCUGGCCAGGGAGUUUCUCGGCACAACAGCAACCCCUUUUUCCCUUUUUUCUAUUUUUUUUUAAACAAUUGCUCUCACCCUUCAUUUUUGGUAGUCACACAUACAGACACACACUAUAUGUACACAAUUUGGGCCCGAGGACCUAUGGCAUGCCAAGGAAACCAGCACCGCUCAGGAUGGUGCACACAUUCAGCAGCUGUCAAAGGAGAAGUCAUUUUACUUGCUUUUAAACUUGCAAUGUUUGUCUUUAUUUUGUUCUUUAUAUUUUGAAAGUGAAAAGAAAUAGUAUUGAGUCAAUUUCUUUUUUUCUUUUCUUUUUUUUUUUUUUUUAAAUAUUUGUUCUAUGUAUUUACAAGCCUUAAAGUUGCUCUAAAGGUUCUCAAAGUAU